rnacentral:rRNA from 1 species
UACGUAGGGCGCAAGCGUUGUCCGGAAUUAUUGGGCGUAAAGAGCUCGUAGGCGGUUUGUCGCGUCUGCUGUGAAAACCUAAGGCUCAACCUUGGGCUUGCAGUGGGUACGGGCAGACUAGAGUGCGGUAGGGGUGACUGGAAUUCCUGGUGUAGCGGUGGAAUGCGCAGAUAUCAGGAGGUACACCGAUGGCGAAGGCAGGUCACUGGGCCGCAACUGACGCUGAGGAGCGAAAGCAUGGGGAGCGAACAGG